UUUGUCUUUAUGGCAAAUAUGGGAUGCAGUGUAUGGAACAUCUAUAAUCUAGUAUGAGAAAUUAACGAUUUAAGUCCUUCUUAAAUGAGGCCAUUUACCCAUAGAGGGUGCCAGGCCCGUAUAACGUUAAUGAUUACUAGAAGGUGUUUCCAAAGAGUCGUGUUGCUUGAUAGUGCAGCACUAAGUGGGUGGUAAACUCCAUCUAAAACUAAAUAUAACCAUGAGACCGAUAGUAAACAAGUACCGUGAGGGAAAGUUGAAAAGAACUCUGAAUAGAGAGUUAAAUAGUACGUGAAACUGCUUAGAGGUUAAGCCCGAUGAACCUGAAUAUCCGUUAUGGAAAAUUCAUCACUAAUUUUAUAAUAUUAAUAAUAUUAUGAGAAAAGUGUGCAAUUUUUCCAUAUAAGGACAUUGUAAUCUGUUAAUGUAAUAAAUAUUUAUCAAAAGAUCCAUUACUAAAGUUUAUUUGAAUUAGUUAUUUUCGGAUUUCUAACAUAAAAUAAUUGUUUUGGAUUUGAUAAAUCAUUGACAGAUAUAAUUAUAUAAUAUGCUUAAAUUUUUUGGAAUUUUAUAAUAAUAUUUUAAUCUAUUGAUUAAUUUAUUUUAUUAUAUGCAUUAUUAUGAUUAACAAUGCGAUAGAUUCAGGAUACCUUCGGGACCCGUCUUGAAACACGGACCAAGGAGUCUAACAUAUGUGCAAGUCAUUGGGUAUUUUUAAUAAAACCCAAUGGCAUAAUUAACUUAACUGAUAAUUAAUAAUGGGAUUAAUUUAUAAUUUUUUAUGAAUUAUUUAUUCAAUCCCGGGGCGUUCUAUAUAGUUAUGCAUAAUGAUAUUUAUAUUAUUUAUGCCUCUAACUAGAGCGUACCUUGAGCAAAUAUGCUGUGACCCGAAAGAUGGUGAACUAUACUUGAUCAGGUUGAAGUCAGGGGAAACCCUGAUGGAAGACCGAAACAGUUCUGACGUGCAAAUCGAUUGUCAGAAUUGAGUAUAGGGGCGAAAGACUAAUCGA
rnacentral:rRNA from 1 species